rnacentral:rRNA from 1 species
CGAGGAAUCUUGGGCAAUGGGCGAAAGCCUGACCCAGCGACGCCGCGUGGGGGAUUAAGGCCCUUGGGUUGUAAACCCCUUUUUCCGGGGAAGAAGUACUGACGGUACCCGGCGAAUAAGCCACGGCUAACUACGUGCCAGCAGCCGCGGUAAUACGUAGGUGGCAAGCGUUGUCCGGAUUUACUGGGCGUAAAGGGCGAGUAGGCGGUACGUUAAGUCCGGUGUGAAAUCUCCCGGCUCAACCGGGAUGGGUCAUCGGAUACUGGCGAACUAGAGGUAGGCAGAGGAAGGCGGAAUUCCCGGUGUAGCGGUGGAAUGCGUAGAUAUCGGGAGGAACACCAGUGGCGAAGGCGGCCUUCUGGGCCCAUCCUGACGCUGAGGCGCGAAAGCGUGGGGAGCAAACCGG